rnacentral:rRNA from 1 species
UACGUAGGGUGCGAGCGUUAAUCGGAAUUACUGGGCGUAAAGCGUGCGCAGGCGGUUCGUUAAGUCAGCUGUGAAAUUCCCGGGCUUAACCUGGGGGCUGCAUUUGAUACGUGUUGUCUAGAGUGAGGAAGAGGGUUGUGGAAUUCCCAGUGUAGAGGUGAAAUUCGUAGAUAUUGGGAAGAACACCGGUGGCGAAGGCGGCAACCUGGUCCUUGACUGACGCUGAGGCGCGAAAGCGUGGGGAGCAAACAGG